CCUACGGGUGGCAGCAGUGAGGAAUAUUGGUCAAUGGUCGCGAGCCUGAACCAGCCAAGUAGCGUGAAGGAUGACUGCCCUACGGGUUGUAAACUUCUUUUAUAAAGGAAUAAAGUCAGGCACGUGUGCCUUUUUGUGUGUACUUUAUGAAUAAGGAUCGGCUAACUCCGUGCCAGCAGCCGCGGUAAUACGGAGGAUCCGAGCGUUAUCCGGAUUUAUUGGGUUUAAAGGGAGCGUAGGUGGAUUGUUAAGUCAGUUGUGAAAGUUUGCGGCUCAACCGUAAAAUUGCAGUUGAAACUGGGAGUCUUGAGUACAGUAGAGGUAGGCGGAAUGCGUGGUGUAGCGGUGAAAUGCUUAGAUAUCACGAAGAACUCCGAUUGCGAAGGCAGCGUACUGGACUGCAACUGACACUGAUGCUCGAAAGUGUGGGUAUCAAACAGGAUUAGAUACCCGAGUAGUC
rnacentral:rRNA from 1 species